GGGGGAAUAGAAGCCACGAGAGAAUACGGUGUAAACAUACCGUCCGCUGACUCUUAAUCAGUGGGUCCACAGUUCGAAUCUGUGCGCGCCCACCA
rnacentral:tRNA from 1 species